rnacentral:rRNA from 1 species
GAUGAACGCUAGCGGCAGGCCUAAUACAUGCAAGUCGAACGAGAUUACGAGGCUUGCUUCUUAUGAAAGUGGCGCACGGGUGCGUAACGCGUAUGCAACCUACCUUAAUCAGGGGGAUAGCCCGAAGAAAUUCGGAUUAAGACCGCAUAAAAACACAGUAUAGCAUAUCCAAUGUUCAAAUAUUUAUAGGAUUAAGAUGGGCAUGCGUGUCAUUAGCUAGUUGGCGGGGUAACGGCCCACCAAGGCGACGAUGACUAGGGGAUCUGAGAGGAUGACCCCCCAUACUGGUACUGAGGCACAGACCAGACUGGUACGGGAGGGAGGGGUAAGGAAUAUUGGUCAAGGGAGCGAACUCUGAACCAGCCGUGCCGCGUACAGGGAGACAGGCCUCUGGAUCGUAAACUGCUUUGAUUCGGGAUUAAACCUUGCUACGUGUAGGAAGCUGAAUGUACCGAAGGAAUAAGGAUCGGCUAACUACGUG